UGAUGUGAAAGCCUUCGGCUCAACCGAAGAAGUGCAUCGGAAACUGGGAAACUUGAGUGCAGAAGAGGACAGUGGAACUCCAUGUGUAGCGGUGAAAUGCGUAGAUAUAUGGAAGAACACCAGUGGCGAAGGCGGCUGUCUGGUCUGUAACUGACGCUGAGGCUCGAAAGGGUAUGGGUAGCAAACAGGAUUAGAUACCCUGGUAGUCCAUACCGUAAACGAUGAAUGCUAAGUGUUGGAGGGUUUCCGCCCUUCAGUGCUGCAGCUAACGCAUUAAGCAUUCCGCCUGGGGAGUACGGCCGCAAGGCUGAAACUCAAAGGAAUUGACGGGGGCCCGCACAAGCGGUGGAGCAUGUGGUUUAAUUCGAAGCUACGCGAAGAACCUUACCAGGUCUUGACAUACUAUGCAAAUCUAAGAGAUUAGACGUUCCCUUCGGGGACAUGGAUACAGGUGGUGCAUGGUUGUCGUCAGCUCGUGUCGUGAGAUGUUGGGUUAAGUCCCGCAACGAGCGCAACCCUUAUUAUCAGUUGCCAGCAUUAAGUUGGGCACUCUGGUGAGACUGCCGGUGACAAACGGGAGGAAGGUGGGGAUGACGUCAAAUCAUCAUGCCCCUUAUGACCUGGGCUACACACGUGCUACAAUGGAUGGUACAACGAGUUGCGAACUCGCGAGAGUAAGCUAAUCUCUUAAAGCCAUUCUCAGUUCGGAUUGUAGGCUGCAACUCGCCUACAUGAAGUCGGAAUCGCUAGUAAUCGCGGAUCAGCAUGCCGCGGUGAAUACGUUCCCGGGCCUUGUACACACCGCCCGUCACACCAUGAGAGUUUGUAACACCCAAAGUCGGUGGGGUAACCUUUUAGGAACCAGCCGCC
rnacentral:rRNA from 1 species